GGGAUUUUCUUUUCUUUUCUUUUCAAUUUUGUUGAGAAAAGCUUUCAUUUUGGCAUUGCUUGUGAACUGCUCCUUGAAUGAGACAGCUACUUGUUAAUUCAUGUAAACUUUAUGGAUUCGUGUUACUAUGUUAGGAAGUGUCAAUAGUAAUCCGAAAAGCCCAUGAGUUGGCCCAAUGUGCUCGCAGAACCAAACUUGUCUUCUAGAUGUUUUGCUGCCAAUAAUGUCUUACUUUAAUUCUGAAACCCGUCUAGGUUUGGAUCAAGAUUUUCAUUUU
rnacentral:misc_RNA from 1 species